AGAGAAGGCUGGUUCAGGCGAAGUUUGCCGCUUUGUUGUGUCUCCUGCAAGGAGCGGUAUUGCUGCACCACUGCAGAGGAAGGAAAGGCAGUAACAAAAGACAUCGCCAGCAGAAGCCUCCAUUCCUUAUUACCCCUAAUAGCCGUUUUGGGCAGCAAUAGCAGUAGGUUUUAGGUUAUAUGUGGCCAUCGGUUCUUUCGGUGGACUGGAUUUUAUCCCUGUAAUCGUCUCAUACAGCAUGCCCUGGUGAAUGCUGACUUUAGUCUCCCUCAUUGUGGGUAGGCAGGAAUGUCUUGUGACAAAAUACCUGACUGGAGAAACCCUUUGGUACUAAGGCAUGGAUUCAUCCCAUGGACACGGCGCUCUUUCCUCCGCUCCUCGCUUGUGCGGUUCUCCCGCCGGCAGAUCUCCCGCUCUCCUUCUCUCCGGUCUGUAUCUGACCAGUCUCUGCGACUGAGCUAUGAAAUAAGGGAAGGUGUAUCUUUCCAAAGAAACCGAGACGAAGGCUUCCCCUCUAGAGCCCAGGGAACAGUUACUUUAAUACUUGGCAUUUUAUACAGAUAAUCUGUCGGCAACGGAAGGGUAUUGCUAUGGCUGCAGGUGUGUCUUGGGCCGUUUUUCUUGACCCCCUCAUUGCAAGGGAUCUUUCAUGAUAUAAACAGGAAAACUCCCUUCUCCUGUCGGAAGGUUUCCCAGCUCUCUAAUUGACGAAGUUUUUUCCUCGUUACCCAUCAGGAGCUGUUCAUCAGCCCCUGCCUGAACUGCAAAGUGAUCUUGAAAUGUCUCAGUGCCUCGCAGGCAGCGUGCCCUUGUACCCGGGGAAAUCACAGAGUAUUUACUUGCUCAGAUACUUUCCUUCAUAAUGUAAUUGUGGAGCUUUUUCAACGAGGAUUUAAAAUACUUGUUGUCAUGACUGGGGAAGGGCUACUCCGCUCCCCAUCCUGGUGGUGCUUGGUGUCUUUAGGGACUGCUGCAUUCCUCAAGAAGCUGAACUUUCAAUAGUGUGAUUUUUAAAGCUCUUUGCAUUAAUAUUUGUCUUAUAACGCUGUGUUAAAAAAGGUAAGGGUGAAACGUCGCGCAGCUGGGAAAGGUUGUACCUGGAAGAUUGGCUCUGCUCUGCAGCCAAACUGCCUACUGCUCUUCCUGGUGUAAGGACAGAUAACCGAAAAUCGAAGCGGCGUAUUGCAUUAAAAUUCCUUGAGAUAAAAAUCGUACUGUCCGCUUUUUGUAACAUCUUUAUUUCAGUAGAAUUAGAGCACCAAAAUAUGACCACCUGCUGAUAAACUGAUAGGAAAUAUCCAACUUGCCUUAAGUACAUAAAAAUGUUCCUAUUUCCAGCAAACCAUGCCAAUGAUGGAAACACCGAUUUGGUUACUUUAACUUGCCUUGCACUUUUUGAUUACAGAAAGGUUUUGACAGAAGAUCUGCCAAGGACUAAUGCAAUACCUGCUCACAGUAUUUUUAAUUAAAAACCGGUGGGAUCAAGACGCUGCUUCAGAGCGUGCCGCACCAUAUAAUAUCUGUAUUAUCUUCUCCAAUGAAAACAUGUGAUAAGUAUGAUCCAUAUUUCAGACAGCCUCAUUCUGGGGAAAAAUUUAAAACCUCAUUACUGAUAGCAUUAAAAAAAAAAUUUAACUUUUUCAGCUUGCCCAGUUUAAAAGCACUUUUUUUUUUCCUUUAGUUUCUGCUGUUUUGUGUUGUGUUUUGCGCAUCGCUGUUGGCCUCAGCUCCACCCGAAGUGCGAUCGCCCUCUGCAAGAGGCGAUUCUCACAGUGUGAGUCCGGGCUCUCCGAGAUCUCCGUCUCAGCCUCUGGCCCCGGUGUGGGACUCAACAACGUCUGGGUGAUCCUGGUCUGCAGUGGGAUGAAGUCCUACUCGCUUAUAGGCCGCAAAGUGUGGCUAAAGAGCCGAGGAGAUCCCUGUCUGAAAUUUGUGUCCCCCGUCACUGCCCUGGAGGGUUUAUAAUGAAGCGUUUGCCCGGUAACAACCAAGCAGCAAUGAGACAUCCAGCCACUGCGAGAAUCCCAGAUGGAGAGCGCUGCCCUGUCUGAUCAGUGACGCACAGUGUGAGAUGUCAGGCCGUGUACAUUCGCCCUGUGACUGGCUUUCCCAGAGACCUGUUGGCAUCCAGUCCCGUGUUCUCCAGAAACACCUGGGGUGAGAAUGCCUCCAGCCCCGUGAAGUCUUCAGCGUGAAAGCUUGUAGUGCUCAGAAGGACAGAACUUCUUCUGACGACGGUUCUUUGCUCGAGUUUUGAUUUCUGAAAAACCCAAGGGCAUGACGUGCUUAGUCACACUGGAAACCGACCAGAUGCAAUGAUUAUUUUUUUUUUUAAAGUUUGCAUAAUGUGUAUCUAGUCAUAGGUUUUAAAACAUGGUGAUUUUUUUUUUGUUUGCUUGUGGCCCUGGCAGAAGAACAGUGUCUCCCCUGGGAAGAUGCAGAGUGACCGGAGCAGCAGCCGGGAGGUCUCCGGGGAUAACAAGUACCGAGGGCAUGUGGGACUGAGCUGAGCAGCCCCAGCAGCCCCCACCUGGGAAGCCUCUGCAGGACUUUGCUUUGUGAUAUCUAAGCUCUCUAUUUCUGCUUUCCCAGCCUGCGUGGCAGAGGCACCUCUUUUCUGCAGGGCAUCAGGUCUGUUUGUAUGCAAAACGCUGGGUGGGACUUGCUCUGUAACGGACAAACCUUCCUGCUGUUUUAUUACAGAUUUUCCUUUUGUUCUUGAGUGGAUUGCAUUAACUGCUUGCAGAGAAGACACUGGUUCAAGUCACAAAACCUCAGCAUCUAGGGAAAUGCAUAAUAUUUACGGAGGAGGCGAUGGGAGGGGGCUGUGUCGGCCAAAGCCAUCGGAGCAGCGGGCCGCUUGCGGCUGUUGUACCCACCCUGCCUUCGGUGGCACCAAAAUCAAACCUGCUUUCAGAAUACAAGCAAGAAUAUGGGCAGAGGGGAGGCGUGAUGAGAUGCCAAAGCCAGCACAACAUCCCACGAGCCAGCUAGCGCGUGUCCCCCCAGCAAUGACUCCCUGCGCUCCCCAGGUCUACCCAGGGAAAGCCACAACAGCAUCCUGCUUCAAGUUUCAGUAUUCUGAAUAUUUUUUCCCCAAUUUCUAUCAAUUCCACUUUUCUGCCACCCUGCCUCUCCAGAGUUUUUGCUGACAGGACAGAGCUGCUGGUAGCAAACACAUUAGUCAUUGUGAUUGAGUACCUAGUAAUUACUUUAUAUAUUUUUUCAAUUCUCAAAUUAAAACCAUUUACUAGUAGGAACAGAUGUUAAAUUCAGGACUCUUGUUGAUUGUUAGUGUGACACACACAUGAAAUGUUUUAAACAAGAAGGCUGAUUGAAUUUUAAAUAUGCUGAUCACACUGGUGGAAUUGAAAAUAAUUGAAACUGGGAAUAACUGUAAUGUUUCCAAGAAGAGAAGACAGAGGUGGGGUUUGUUUUCAAACUCCCGAUUGCAUUAAUCAUGUUAAAUUCUGCCAACUAAAUAGAAUAACUUACUGUACGUUAGAGUAGCAAACGUGAGACUUGCAUGGCUGUUGCUUCAAAAUGGCAGGAGAAAAGAAUUUUUAAAAUCAGGCAAAAUCUGUUUUCAAAUUAAUACUUCAGAUAUUAUCCACCUGCUUGUAGGAGCUUGGUUGUUUUUUUUCUUUGCUUAUUCAGUAAAAUUACAUUUUCCAGGAAAUCUGACAUAAUGGUGUACCAAGGGAUAAAUGCCCUUCGCAAAGGGUGAGCAGAUCUCUUGCAGUCCCUUUGCCUGUAGACAGCCCCAGCUCACUUUCCCAAACUGGAGAAGGCGAUGGUUUCACGCUGCAAAGGCUGGUAGUGAAAAGAAGGGAGCAAAGUAUUCCAAAGCACCCACCAGAGGAUGCAAAUCUCUAGGCUGGAGGUUCAGCCCAUACGGGCAACUUUCCACUGUUAAAAUAAGAAAUUUUUUUCACUU